GAGAGUGGCGCACGGGUGCGUAACGCGUAUGCAACCAACCUCAUCCGGGGGACAGCCGGUGGAAACGCCGGGUAAUACCCCAUAUCCGACUUUGGGAGGCAUCUUCUGAGGUGGAAAGACUUAGGUCGGAGGAGGACGGGCAUGCGUCCCAUUAGCUAGUCGCGGGGUGACGGCCCACCGAGGCGACCGAUGGUAGGGGAUCUGAGAGGACGGUCCCCCACACUGGUACUGAGACACGGACCAGACUCCUACGGGAGGCAGCAGUAAGGAAUAUUGGGCAAUGGGGGAAACCCUGACCCAGCCAUGCCGCCGUGAGGGAAGUAGGCCCUACGGGUCGUGAACCUCUUUUGUCCAGGGACAAGGACGGGGUCGAGAACUCCGUUUGAGGGUACUGGAAGAAUAAGCAUCGGCUAACUCCGUGCCAGCAGCUGC
rnacentral:rRNA from 1 species